GACGAACGCUGGCGGCGUGCUUAACACAUGCAAGUCGAACGGAAAGGCCCUGCUUUUGUGGGGUGCUCGAGUGGCGAACGGGUGAGUAACACGUGAGUAACCUGCCCUUGACUUUGGGAUAACUUCAGGAAACUGGGGCUAAUACCGGAUAGGAGCUCCUGCUGCAUGGUGGGGGUUGGAAAGUUUCGGCGGUUGGGGAUGGACUCGCGGCUUAUCAGCUUGUUUGUGGGGUAGUGGAUUACCAAGGCUUUGACGGGUAGCCGGCCUGUGCGGGUGACCGGCCACAUUGGGACUGAGAUACGGCGCAGACUCCUACGGGAGGCAGCAGUGGGGAAUAUUGCACAAUGGGCGGAAGCCUGAUGCAGCAACGCCGCGUGCGGGAUGACGGCCUUCGGGUUGUAAACCGCUUUCGCCUGUGACGAAGCGUGAGUGACGGUAAUGGGUAAAGAAGCACCGGCUAACUACGUG
rnacentral:rRNA from 1 species